rnacentral:lncRNA from 1 species
CUCAGUGUAGCCGAAACAUUUGAUCCUUUUAACAGAAAGGAGAAAUGAAUAAUUUAGAACUAUAAUGAAGCUUCCAAAAUAUCUAGGGGCAGGGAGACACCAGCAAAUACCAAGAUCGCAUGAAUGCCUAAACAGAGCAGUCCACAGUAAGCUAUGAGCAUCCAGCCCUCAAACUGGAAAAGACAGCGGAGUGGUGGGUUGAUGAAGAAUGGAGUAACAAUAAAGGAGGCAGAUGAACAACAACAAAAAAAGAUUGGACAGGUUCUUUAUGUUUUGAGUACCAUGGGGCGAAGUAUACAUUUUAUUUUUAGAAGACUCCUGAGAGAAAGUAAAGGCUCAUAGAAUGAAGCUCAUACAUUUAUACAGACUUGUUUCAUUUGAAUUUCAAAGUUGAUUUCCAAUAUUGUAUUAGUUCAUGGAUGUGAGAUUUGGAUAUAAAGAAAGCUGAGCACCAAAGAAUUGAUGCUUUUGAACUGUGGUGUUCAAGAAGACUCUUGAGAGUCCCUUGGAAUCCAAGGAGAUCCAACCAGUUCAUUCUAAAAGAAACAGGUCCUGAUUAUUCAUUGGAAGGAUUGGUGCUGAAGCUGAAACUUCAACAUUUUGGCCACCUGAUGCAAAGAACUGACUCAUUUGAAAAGACCCUGAUACUGAGAAAGAUUGAAGGCAGGAGGAGAAGGGGACGACAGAGGAUGAGAUGGUUGGAUGGCAUCACCUACUCAAUGGACAUGAGUUUUUGAAAAAGCUCUGGGAGUUGGUGAUGGACAGGGAAGCCUGGCGUGCUGCAGCCCAUGGGCUCUCAGAGUCGGACACGACUGAGUGAGAGAACUGAACUGACUGAUAGCCCAUUUAAAGUUAUUAUAAAAUAACACCUGUAUUCUCUGCGCUAUGCAUUACAUCCUUGUAUCUUAUGUUUUUUAUGCCUAGUUGUUUAUACCUCUUAAUCCCCUUUGCCUCGUUUGCCCUUUCCCUCAUGUAUUUUCACUUAUAUUUGGAAUACAGAAAGAAAACAAAUGAAUGAAUGUAUUAAAAACAAGAAAUGGUUUUGUUCUUUGGCAACAGUAAAGCAAACAAAUAAAAC